rfam:Stegodyphus mimosarum contig128403, whole genome shotgun sequence.
ACCUUCGUAGUGUAGUGGUCAGUACGCUCGACGCGUAACCGAGAGGUCCGUGGUUCGAUUCCUUGCGAAGGCU